rnacentral:rRNA from 1 species
GACAGAGGGUGCAAACGUUGUUCGGAAUUACUGGGCGUAAAGCGCGUGUAGGCGGCUAUGCAAGUCGGGCGUGAAAUCCCACGGCUCAACCGUGGAAGUGCACUCGAAACUGCGUAGCUAGAGUCCCGGAGAGGAAGGUGGAAUACUUGGUGUAGAGGUGAAAUUCGUAGAUAUCAAGUGGAACACCGGUGGCGAAGGCGGCCUUCUGGACGGUGACUGACGCUGAGACGCGAAAGCGUGGGGAGCAAACAGG